rnacentral:tRNA from 1 species
UGGGUCGGUGCCCGAGCGGUUAAUGGGGGCGGACUGUAAAUCCGCUGGCAAUGCCUACGUUGGUUCAAAUCCAACCCGGCCCA